UACGAAGGGGGCUAGCGUUGUUCGGAUUUACUGGGCGUAAAGCGCACGUAGGCGGAUCUUUAAGUCAGAGGUGAAAUCCCAAGGCUCAACCUUGGAACUGCCUUUGAUACUGGGGAUCUUGAGUCCGGGAGAGGUGAGUGGAACUGCGAGUGUAGGAGGUGAAAUUCGUAGAUAUUCGCAAGAACACCAGUGGCGAAGGCGGCUCACUGGCCCGGUACUGACGCUGAGGUGCGAAAGCGUGGGGAGCAAACAGG
rnacentral:rRNA from 1 species